rnacentral:rRNA from 1 species
AUUGAACGCUGGCGGCAGGCCUAACACAUGCAAGUCGAACGAGUGGCGGACGGGUGAGUAAUGUCUGGGAAUCUGGCUGAUGGAGGGGGAUAACGACGGGAAACUGUAGCUAAUACCGCGUACCAUAGGAUGAGCCCAAGUGGGAUUAGGUAGUUGGUGGGGUAAUGGCUCACCAAGGCGACGAUCCCUAGCUGGUCUGAGAGGAUGACCAGCCAAACCGGAACUUAGACACGGCCCGGACUCCUACGGGAGGCAGCAGUGGGGAAUAUUGCACAAUGGGGGCAAGCCUGAUGCAGCCAUGCCGCGUGUAUGAAGAAGGCCUUCGGGUUGUAAAGUACUUUCAGCGGGGAGGCGUUACUCGCAGAAGAAGCACCGGCUAACUCCGUGCCAGCAGCCGCGGUAAUUC